rnacentral:rRNA from 1 species
UACGUAGGGUGCAGGCGUUAAUCGGAAUUACUGGGCGUAAAGCGUGCGCAGGCGGUUUCUUAAGUCAGAUGUGAAAGCCCCGGGCUUAACCUGGGAACUGCGCUUGAAACUGGGAGACUUGAGUGUGGCAGAGGGGGGUGGAAUUCCACGUGUAGCAGUGAAAUGCGUAGAUAUGUGGAGGAACACCGGUGGCGAAGGCGGCAUCCUGGACCGGCAUUGACGCUGAGGCGCGAAAGCCAGGGGAGCAAACGGG